rnacentral:rRNA from 1 species
GACGAGCGCUGGCGGCGUGCUUAACACAUGCAAGUCGACGACGCUACUGAGUAGCAAUAUUUAGUAGUGGAGUGGCGCAAGGGUGAGUAAUGUAUACGUAACCAACCCAUCGGAGACGGAUAACAUUUCGAAAGGGAUGCUAAAACGGCAUGAAGCCACGAUUUCGCAUGAGAUUGUGGUUAAAGAACCGGUAACAGGUUGCCGAUGGCUGGGCGUAUAUCCGAUUAGCUAGUUGGUAGUGUAAUGGACUACCAAGGCGACGAUCGGUAGCUGGUCUGAGAGGAUGAUCAGCCACACUGGCACUGAGACACGGGCCAGACUCCUACGGGAGGCAGCAGUGGGGAAUAUUGGGCAAUGCCCGCAAGGGUGACCCAGCAACGCCGCGUGGAGGAUGAAGGCCGUAAGGUUGUAAACUCUGACAAGCAGGGAAGAACGGCUAUGGUAAAAGGCCAUAGAAUGACGGUACCUGCCUGAAGCCCCGGCUAACUACGUG